UACGUAGGGUGCAAGCGUUAAUCGGAAUUAUUGGGCGUAAAGCGUGCGCAGGCGGUUUUGUAAGCCAGGUGUGAAAUCCCCGGGCUCAACCUGGGAAUGGCAUUUGGGACUGCAAGGCUGGAGUGUGGCAGAGGAGACUGGAAUUCCUGGUGUAGCAGUGAAAUGCGUAGAUAUCAGGAGGAAUACCGAUGGCGAAGGCAGGUCUCUGGGCUGACACUGACGCUCAUGCACGAAAGCGUGGGGAGCAAACAGG
rnacentral:rRNA from 1 species